CCCUGGCUGCCCCUCUGCCCUAGGGCGGCAGCGGCCGAGAACUGUCACCCCGUAGGCCGAGUCCGGUUGGGCUCGGCCCGGGUGGCAGCCGGGCCUGGGCUUGGGUUCCUUGGUCCGGCCCGCGGCCCAUGGGUCCAGCCCGCGGCCCGUGGGUCCGGCCUAGGGUUUUGUUGUUUUCUUCUUCUUGCCCGAUCUUCCUCCUUGUGCCGGUGUGCUCCCCUCUGUUCCAUGAAUGGAACAGAGAGGAGAACACCCCCACCGAGGGGGUUCCUCCCCUCUUCUCUCGCUUUAGUCUACUGGCAGUGUGCUUACCUUGACUUGGCUGAGUGGAGUCGGGCAGUGACACUUUCUCGGCAAGUUCCCUCCUUCCUCCCUUGGGCUGCGGGGCACCUUCCACCUCCAGCUCCGGGAUCUAGCUCUCUGGUUCAGAAUAUCAGAGGGUUAGAGGCUUAGGAGGGUAUAUCCAAGAUUAGGGUUAGCAGGGCUUAGGUCUAUAAAAACUAAGCUUGUGAUUUGACCCCAAGGAGAGGUGGCA
rnacentral:lncRNA from 1 species